UGGCUCUCGCAUCGAUGAAGAACGCAGCGAAACGCGAAAUGUAAUGUGAAUUGCAGAAUCUCAGUGAAUCAUCGAAUCUUUGAACGCAUCUUGCGCCUGGUGGUAUUCCGCCAGGUAUGCCUGUCUGAGUGUCCAUUUCCUCUCAAAAAAUACUUGCUUUUCAUGAAGUGGUUUUUUUGGAUCAUGGAUGUGGUUGAAAGCAUGCAGCUUCAACCCGUCUGGAAUUGAGUCGGUCGUAACGCAUUGAGAAAGCGGCUUGACCAAGUGUUGUAUCAUCCUCACUUGGAACGUUUUGAAUCGUUGAGCCACCAACGCCUAAAACUUUUUACGUUUUAGACCUCAGAUCAGGUAGGAUUACCCGCUGA
rnacentral:misc_RNA from 1 species